GACGAACGCUGGCGGCGUGCUUAACACAUGCAAGUCGAACGGAAAGGCCCUGCUUUUGUGGGGUGCUCGAGUGGCGAACGGGUGAGUAACACGUGAGUAACCUGCCCUUGACUUUGGGAUAACUUCAGGAAACUGGGGCUAAUACCGGAUAGGAGCUCCUGCUGCAUGGUGGGGGUUGGAAAGUUUCGGCGGUUGGGGAUGGACUCGCGGCUUAUCAGCUUGUUGGUGGGGUAGUGGCUUACCAAGGCUUUGACGGGUAGCCGGCCUGAGAGGGUGACCGGCCACAUUGGGACUGAGGUACGGACCAGAAUCCUACGGGAGGCAGCAGUGGGGAAUAUUGCACAAUGGGCGGAAGCCUGAUGCAGCAACGCCGCGUGCGGGAUGACGGCCUUCGGGUUGUAAACCGCUUUCGCCUGUGACGAAGCGUGAGUGACGGUAAUGGGUAAAGAAGCACCGGCUAACUACGUG
rnacentral:rRNA from 1 species